CUACGGGGGGCUCCAGUAAGGAAUAUUGCGCAAUGGAGGCAACUCUGACGCAGCCAUGCCGCGUGCAGGAAGAAGGCCUUAUGGGUCGUAAACUGCUUUUAUUUAGGAAUAAACCCCCGAACGUGUUCGGGGCUGAAGGUACUAAACGAAUAAGCACCGGCUAACUCCGUGCCAGCAGCCGCGGUAAUACGGAGGGUGCAAGCGUUAUCCGGAUUUAUUGGGUUUAAAGGGUGCGCAGGCGGGCUAUUAAGUCAGUGGUGAAAUCCCGGGGCUCAACUCCGGAACUGCCAUUGAUACUGAUAGUCUUGAGUUUGGUUGAAGUGGGCGGAAUGUAGCAUGUAGCGGUGAAAUGCAUAGAUAUGCUACAGAACACCAAUCGCGAAGGCAGCUCACUAAGCCAAAACUGACGCUCAUGCACGAAAGCGUGGGGAUCAAACAGGAUUAGAUACCCCGGUAGUC
rnacentral:rRNA from 1 species